rnacentral:tRNA from 1 species
GAUAAAAUGGCUGAGAUCACAGGCAAUAGAUUGUAAAUCUAUGUACAAGGAGUGUCCUUUUUUAUCA